GUUCGGUUCUGCUGUUGUUGCUGCUGUUAAUCACAUCCAGAACUGAACAAUGUUCAUUCUAACAGUUAGGAUUUGUUUCUGCUGAUGUUAACUUCCCUGAUAACUGGGCUGAAGCUUAAUAUUCUGGACAGAGAUCAAAUAAAUCUUGAUGACAAGCUAAUUGAUCAGCCAGAGUCAAUCCGAAUGGUGGAGCAGGCUCGAAGGGCUGAAUGACCUGCUCCAGUUCCUGUGUAGUUUCUGCCCAGACUUCUCUCACUCUCUAACUCUGCUCCAGUGCUGGUUUCUGGUGAGGUGUCUUCUCCCCAGUUCUCCCAUGACUUUCCAUUGAUCAGCUGGUGUUUGAGUCCCAGUUUAUUAGGGACAGGAGAAGGUAAUUUACCCGCUCGAGCCUGUUCUGUCAUUCAUUGUAGUCAUGGCUGAUCUGUGAUCUAACUGCAUUUACCCAGAUAUUAUUUUAAUCCUAGUUUCCCAGUCUGUUACAGUUUGAUUAAAAAAUAACUUUUAUUUACAUCUCACCUAUCGGAGAAUGUCCCAAGGCGAAGCAGAAACUGACAUCCAAAAAAAAAUUGACAUGGAGUCAAAGAAGGAGAUGUUAGGAGGGCUGACUAAAGGCUUAGUGUAGUGUAAAGGGUUAAUAUUAAAUAUGUAAAUCUUCCACAUCAUCAUUGAUGUAAGAUCAUGUGACAAGUGUGCUGAGAAAUGGUUCUCUGUGAAGCCUCGUGCUCAGCCUUGUACUGUACAUAGAAGAAUGUGCAAUGAAAGGUUAAAUUUACCAACAGCUUUGCCCCAAGCAGUCUCUAUCGAUCCUAACCAAUUUCCUUGUCUGUUUGAUCUAAACCUGUCCGAAUGGUGUUCACCUCUGUCACCUCUACAUUAGCCUCCUUUUUUCCAAGGAGAACAACUCCAGCAUCUCGAACCUGACCUUUUGGCUAAAAUCCCUCAUUGCUGAAACCAUUCUGGUAAAUCUGCUCUGCACCCUCUCAAGGACCAUCACAUCCUUCCUAAAGUGUCGUGACUAUACAUGGAUACAAUCAUCCCAUUGUGCUUUAAACAGAGCUUUAUAACUUACCUACUUUUAACAAAAUGGCUCUGUUGCAAGCCAACUUAAUAUCUACCUUUUUAAUGUACAAUCACUUUUUCACUGUUUCUUUAUUUCUUUUAUAUUAAUCAAUGUAGACCGGUUGUGGUGUAACCCUGUGUGUGGAAUCUGUCUCAUGGUGGUAACAUGGAACAUCAAGGUGAAAGAAGAACCCAAACUGAAGCUAUUUGAAGAAAUGUACUAAACUGCAGUGUAGGCUCAAAAAACAAAGCAUGAUGGUCAAUUUAGUCAAGUCACAGCCUUGCCAGAAUUAGCAAUGUCUGCAAGAUGAAUUAAAUUGUGCAGGAGAAAUGGCCUCGAACUGUGAGAAAGAUAGGCCCCUUUGGUGCUCGUCAGAGGUAAUAAAGAUGUCUGUCUGUACCAGCCUGGGGAUUGAUAACAGUGUUGGAGAUAACAAAGUAGAGUCAGGCUGGUUCUAUUCCUUCAAGCAUGACGAGGCCCAGGACAUAAGGACAAGGGAGAAGGCAAUGAUAUUGAAAACCAAUUUUUAAAAAUUAUUCGUUCAUGGGAUACGAACGUUGCUGUGAGAAUUUAUUUCCCAGCCCCAAUUGCCUUUGUUCAGAGACAUUUAAGAGUCAACCAUAUUGCUGUGGGACUGGAGUCACAUGUAGGCCAGACCAGGGACACCAACUUCGAAGGGAAGUUUUCCUCCAUCCACCAAAAGAGGCACCAAAUGCAGAAGGGACUCUCUGGAAGCUAAAUGAAAGCCUAUACCGUUUAAAUGUCACCUUCAGAGUUUGGCAUUUCUCAGUGAGGUCAGUUUUGUUAAAGUUGGCAUGUCUUCAGUUGGAAGCAGACCUGGCAAUGUUUUAUUGGCACCAUGGAGGGAACUUGCAGGCAUCCUUAUUUUUUUGUGGGAUGGUAGUAGCGAAUUUGAAACCAUUGUCAUUAAUGGGCUCAGAACGGAGGUUAAAAUUGGAAGUCAGGCUUUUGUUGCAUUUAAGUACAUUGGAUUGGAAAUCAGGCAGAGAGGAUCACACAUCCUUUUACAUCAGCAAUCCUACUUAGAGAACAUCAAUCUCAUUGCAAUUAGUCAUGGUAGGGUCUCCCAGAAAGAUACAGCAGCUUCUGAAAUGGGAAAAAAGGAACUCAGAUGUCUAAUUGGGAAACUCAAUUGGCUAGGCAAACAAACAAGGCUGGAUGUCAGUUUUGACGUUUUGGAAUUGAGCACUAAACUGAACAAUCCGAAGGUUGAAGAAAUCAUUCAGGAAAACAAAACAUUGGCAAAAUUAAAAAUGGAGCAGUGUGUUUUGAAAUUCCCAUCUUUGAGUGAUGUUAGAAAAAUGAAACUGAUUGUGUUCAGUGAUGCAUCUCAUGCAAAUCUUUGUGAUGGAUUUUCGAGUGCGGGAGGAUUUAUGAUAUUUCUCAGAGGGAAAAAGGCAAAUGCUGCCUUUUGGCAUAGGAAUCUUAAAAUAUAUGAAGAGUUGUAAAAAGUGUGUUAGCAGCAGAGACUCUCGCCCUUGUUGAGGCAGUAGAUAUGGCAUUCUUCAUAUCAAAGAUACUGGCAGAAGUUUUAAAUGGAAAAGGGUAUUCAGGAACAGCACCUAUCGAAUGUCUUGUAGAUAAUAAGUCACUCUGGGAAAAUGUUCACUCUACAAAGUGCGUUAAUGAGAAAAGAUUGCGAAUUGACAUUGCAAACUUAAAACAGAUGUUUCAGAAGAAGGAGAUUGCCAAGAUCGAAUGGAUUGAUAGCAGCUACCAAUUAUCUGACUGCUUCACCAAAAGAGGAGCGAGCUCCAGAAGUUACUUAGAGGUCCUCAAAGAGGGAUGUCUUUUUCUUUAAGAAAAACAAACUCCUUUUCUGUGGAAAUAUCUAUACAUAUGUUUUUUUUAAGGAGGGAAAUAAGGUGAAUUUAUUGAAUGAAAAAAUAUAUAUUGAUGUUUGUUCGUACUUUUUUUGUGAUUAUGUCAACUUAAGAGUAACUUUCUUUAUAAGAGGGGAAUCUGUUAGGGAAGGACAUGGUUAAAGAAGUUCAGUUGCUAAUUAUUAGGUUCUUUAACUAAGUACCAUUUGGUUGGACAAAAGGGUUAACAGCUGAGACUAGUGGGAGCUGUGGAGAGAUUUGACAAACAAUAAAAAUCUGUCUGAA